UUGACACUGUUAGUUUUUAUUUUUGUAAAAAAACAUAUAUUAUUAUUUGAUAUUGAAUGACUGAAACAAAUACAUGAUGCUGAAUAAAAUAAAAUAUUGCACAAUUGUUAGUAAUAGAGGAUUUAAAAACUUUGGUCAUAAACGACAACCGCCGUCCCUAUUCACAACCCUUUGGCAUGGAUUUCUUACUUUCUCGUUUAUUGGAAUGGCAAUAGAAUGGAAAAGAUUUACAAAAUUUCUUAUUGGUGAGGACCCUAAGAAUGAGAAUACCCCAUUUGAUUAAAUAUAAUGUUGUAUGUAUAUAGUAGUUGUAAGAAAUUAAAAUAAAUUAGUUAAAAAUGUA